rnacentral:rRNA from 1 species
UACGAAGGGGGCUAGCGUUGCUCGGAAUCACUGGGCGUAAAGCGCACGUAGGCGGACUCUUAAGUCGGUGGUGAAAUCCUGGAGCUCAACUCCAGAACUGCCUUCGAUACUGAGAGUCUUGAGUCCGAGAGAGGUGAGUGGAACUGCGAGUGUAGAGGUGAAAUUCGUAGAUAUUCGCAAGAACACCAGUGGCGAAGGCGGCUCACUGGCUCGGUACUGACGCUGAGGCACGAAAGCGUGGGGAGCAAACAGG